ACGGGCACAUCACGUUGAAACACCGGUUUUCGUACGAUUCACCCAAGUUAAGCAACGUCGAGUCUGUUCAGUACCUUGAUGGGUAACCGCGUGGGAAUGCCAAGCGCUGUAA